rnacentral:rRNA from 1 species
GACGAACGCUGGCGGCGUGCCUAAUACAUGCAAGUAGAACGCUGAAGGAGGAGCUUGCUUCUCUGGAUGAGUUGCGAACGGGUGAGUAACGCGUAGGUAACCUGCCUGGUAGCGGGGGAUAACUAUUGGAAACGAUGGCUAAUACCGCAUAAUAGUAGAUGUUGCAUGACAUUUGCUUAAAAGGUGCAAUUGCAUCACUACCAGAUGGACCUGCGUUGUAUUAGCUAGUUGGUGAGGUAACGGCUCACCAAGGCAACGAUACAUAGCCGACCUGAGAGGGUGAUCGGCCACACUGGGACUGAGACACGGCCCAGACUCCUACGGGAGGCAGCAGUAGGGAAUCUUCGGCAAUGGACGGAAGUCUGACCGAGCAACGCCGCGUGAGUGAAGAAGGUUUUCGGAUCGUAAAGCUCUGUUGUAAGAGAAGAACGAGUGUGAGAGUGGAAAGUUCACACUGUGACGGUAUCUUACCAGAAAGGGACGGCUAACUACGUG